ACGGGGCUGGAGGGAUAUGGAGUCCUAUGGGGUCCUUAUAGGGCUGGAGGGAUAUGGGCUCCUGUGGGGUCAUUAUAAGGCUGGAGGGAUAUGGGGUCCCAUGGGGUCUUUAUAGGGCUGGGGGAUAUGGGGCCGUAUGAGGUCCUAUGGGGACCUUAUAGGGCUGGAGCGAUAUGGGGUCCUCUGGGGUUCUUAUAGGGCUGGAGCAAUAUCUGUGGGGUCCUUAUAGGGCUGGGGCAAUAUGGGAUCCUGUGGGGUCCUUAUAGGGCUGGGAGGAUAUGGAGUCCUAUGGGGUCCUUAUAGGGCUGGGGCAAUAUGGGGUCCUGUGGGGUCCUUUUAGGGCUGGGAGGAUAAAGGGGUCCUGUGGGGUCCUUAUAGGGCUGGGGCAAUAUGGCAUCCUGUGGGGUUCUUAUAGGGCUGGAGCAAUAGGGGGUCCUGUGGGGUCCUUAUAGGGCUGAGGGGAUAAUGGGACCGCUCAGUGUUUAGUAUAGGGGAUAUGGGGUCCCUACGGGAGCCUAUGGGACCCCCCUCACCCCAUUGUCUUCCCCACCCCCCCCAGGUCCUUCCCUAGCAAUUACUGGGACAAGUUCGUCAAGAGAAAGGUGUUGGAGAAAUAUGGGGACAUUUAUGGCCGUGAGCGCAUCGCGGAGCUGCUGGGGAUGGAGCUCUCCAGCCUCGAAAUCGGGGCACGGGGGGAGAGGAAGCCCCCCCCCGACAACUCCGUGCUCACCUGGAUCACCUCCAUCGAUAUCCGCUAUCAGAUCUGGAAGUUUGGGGUCAUCUUCACUGAUAACGUGAGUGGGGGGGGGGACACGACCCCAAAACUCUGCUGACCCCACAUCCCUGCUGACCCCAUUGACCUCACAUCUCCGCUGCCCCUAUUGACACCACUGACCCCUCUGACCCCACAUAACCACUGUCCCCAUUGACCCCACUGUCCCCAGUCCCCACAGACCCCACAUCCCCACUGACCCCACAGGCCUAUUGACCCCAAAUCCCCCCUGUCCCCCUUGACCCCACUGUCCCACAUCUCCACUGACCCCACCAUCCCCACUGACCCCACCAUCCCCACUGUCCCCAUUGACCCCACAUCUCCACUGUCCCCACUGACCCCACUGACCCC
rnacentral:lncRNA from 1 species